AUGAACGCUAGCUACAGGCUUAACACAUGCAAGUCGAGGGGCAGCAUGGUCUUAGCUUGCUAAGGCUGAUGGCGACCGGCGCACGGGUGAGUAACACGUAUCCAACCUGCCGUCUACUCUUGGCCAGCCUUCUGAAAGGAAGAUUAAUCCAGGAUGGGAUCAUGAGUUCACAUGUCCGCAUGAUUAAAGGUAUUUUCCGGUAGACGAUGGGGAUGCGUUCCAUUAGAUAGUAGGCGGGGUAACGGCCCACCUAGUCAACGAUGGAUAGGGGUUCUGAGAGGAAGGUCCCCCACAUUGGAACUGAGACACGGUCCAAACUCCUACGGGAGGCAGCAGUGAGGAAUAUUGGUCAAUGGGCGAUGGCCUGAACCAGCCAAGUAGCGUGAAGGAUGACUGCCCUAUGGGUUGUAAACUUCUUUUAUAAAGGAAUAAAGUCGGGUAUGCAUACCCGUUUGCAUGUACUUUAUGAAUAAGGAUCGGCUAACUCCGUGCCAGCAGCCGCGGUAAUACGGAGGAUCCGAGCGUUAUCCGGAUUUAUUGGGUUUAAAGGGAGCGUAGAUGGAUGUUUAAGUCAGUUGUGAAAGUUUGCGGCUCAACCGUAAAAUUGCAGUUGAUACUGGAUGUCUUGAGUGCAGUUGAGGCAGGCGGAAUUCGUGGUGUAGCGGUGAAAUGCUUAGAUAUCACGAAGAACUCCGAUUGCGAAGGCAGCCUGCUAAGCUGCAACUGACAUUGAGGCUCGAAAGUGUGGGUAUCAAACAGGAUUAGAUACCCUGGUAGUCCACACGGUAAACGAUGAAUACUCGCUGUUUGCGAUAUACGGCAAGCGGCCAAGCGAAAGCGUUAAGUAUUCCACCUGGGGAGUACGCCGGCAACGGUGAAACUCAAAGGAAUUGACGGGGGCCCGCACAAGCGGAGGAACAUGUGGUUUAAUUCGAUGAUACGCGAGGAACCUUACCCGGGCUUAAAUUGCACUCGAAGAAGUAGAGAUACAUUAGGUGCCCUUCGGGGAAAGUUGAGACAGGUGGUGCAUGGUUGUCGUCAGCUCGUGCCGUGAGGUGUCGGCUUAAGUGCCAUAACGAGCGCAACCCUUGUUGUCAGUUACUAACAGGUGAUGCUGAGGACUCUGACAAGACUGCCAUCGUAAGAUGUGAGGAAGGUGGGGAUGACGUCAAAUCAGCACGGCCCUUACGUCCGGGGCUACACACGUGUUACAAUGGGGGGUACAGAGGGCCGCUACCACGCGAGUGGAUGCCAAUCCCUAAAACCCCUCUCAGUUCGGACUGGAGUCUGCAACCCGACUCCACGAAGCUGGAUUCGCUAGUAAUCGCGCAUCAGCCACGGCGCGGUGAAUACGUUCCCGGGCCUUGUACACACCGCCCGUCAAGCCAUGGGAGCCGGGGGUACCUGAAGUGCGUAACCGCGAGGAUCGCCCUAGGGUAAAACUGGUGACUGGGGCU
rnacentral:rRNA from 1 species